UACGUAGGGUCCGAGCGUUGUCCGGAAUUACUGGGCGUAAAGAGCUCGUAGGCGGUCUGUCGCGUCGGCUGUGAAAACUCGGGGCUCAACUCCGUGCCUGCAGUCGAUACGGGCAGACUAGAGUUCGGUAGGGGAGACUGGAAUUCCUGGUGUAGCGGUGAAAUGCGCAGAUAUCAGGAGGAACACCGAUGGCGAAGGCGGGUCUCUGGGCCGAAACUGACGCUGAGGCGCGAAAGCGUGGGGAGCAAACAGG
rnacentral:rRNA from 1 species